AUUGAACGCUGGCGGCAGGCCUAACACAUGCAAGUCGAGCGGAUGAAGGGAGCUUGCUCCUGGAUUCAGCGGCGGACGGGUGAGUAAUGCCUAGGAAUCUGCCUUGUAGUGGGGGAUAACGUCCGGAAACGGGCGCUAAUACCGCAUACGUCCUGAUGUAGAAAGGGGGGGAUCUUCGGACCUCACGCUAUCAGAUGAGCCUAGGUCGGAUUAGCUAGUUGGUGGGGUAAAGGCCUACCAAGGCGACGAUCCGUAACUGGUCUGAGAGGAUGAUCAGUCACACUGGAACUGAGACACGGUCCAGACUCCUACGGGAGGCAGCAGUGGGGAAUAUUGGACAAUGGGCGAAAGCCUGAUCCAGCCAUGCCGCGUGUGUGAAGAAGGUCUUCGGAUUGUAAAGCACUUUAAGUUGGGAGGAAGGGCAGUAAGUUAAUACCUUGCUGUUUUGACGUUACCAACAGAAUAAGCACCGGCUAACUUCGUG
rnacentral:rRNA from 1 species